rnacentral:rRNA from 1 species
UGAACGCUGGCGGUAUGCUUAACACAUGCAAGUCGAACGGAAACGAUACUAGCUUGCUAGUAGGCGUCGAGUGGCGGACGGGUGAGUAACGCGUAGGAAUCUGCCUGAUAGUGGGGGAUAGCCCGAAGAAAUUCGGAUUAAUACCGCAUAAUCUAUUCGUAGUAAAGUGGGGGACUUUCGAGCCUCACGCUAUCAGAUGAGCCUGCGUAAGAUUAGCUAGUUGGUAGGGUAAAAGCCUACCAAGGCAACGAUCUUUAGCUGGUCUGAGAGGAUGAUCAGCCACAUCGGGACUGAGACACGGCCCGAACUCCUACGGGAGGCAGCAGUGGGGAAUAUUGGACAAUGGGGGCAACCCUGAUCCAGCAAUACCGCGUGUGUGAAGAAGGCCUGAGGGUUGUAAAGCACUUUCAAUUGUGAAGAAAAGUUAACGGUUAAUAACCGUUAGCCUUGACGUUAACUUUAGAAGAAGCACCGGCUAACUCCGUGCCAGCAGCCGCGGUAAUACGGAGGGUGCAAGCGUUAAUCGGAAUUACUGGGCGUAAAGCGUGCGUAGGCGGUUUAUUAAGUCAGAUGUGAAAGCCCCGGGCUUAACCUGGGAACUGCAUUUGAAACUGGUCAACUAGAGUAUGGUAGAGGAAAGUGGAAUUUCUGGUGUAGCGGUGAAAUGCGUAGAUAUCAGAAGGAACAUCAAUGGCGAAGGCAGCUUUCUGGACCAAUACUGACGCUGAGGUACGAAAGCGUGGGUAGCAAACAGGAUUAGAUACCCUGGUAGUCCACGCCGUAAACGAUGAUAACUAGCCGUUGGGGGGAUUUACCCUUUAGUGGCGAAGCUAACGCGUUAAGUUAUCCGCCUGGGGAGUACGGCCGCAAGGUUAAAACUCAAAGGAAUUGACGGGGACCCGCACAAGCGGUGGAGCAUGUGGUUUAAUUCGAUGCAACGCGAAGAACCUUACCUGGUCUUGACAUCCUGCGAACUUUCUAGAAAUAGAUUGGUGCCUUCGGGAACGCAGUGACAGGUGCUGCAUGGCUGUCGUCAGCUCGUGUCGUGAGAUGUUGGGUUAAGUCCCGUAACGAGCGCAACCCCUAUCCUUAUUUGCCAGCACGUCAUGGUGGGAACUAUAAGGAGACUGCCGGUGAUAAACCGGAGGAAGGCGGGGACGACGUCAAGUCAUCAUGGCCCUUACGACCAGGGCUACACACGUGCUACAAUGGGAAGGACAAAGAGCCGCGAAGCCGCGAGGUGUAGCUAAUCUCAGAAACCUUUUCGUAGUCCGGAUUGGAGUCUGCAACUCGACUCCAUGAAGUCGGAAUCGCUAGUAAUCGUAGAUCAGAAUGCUACGGUGAAUACGUUCCCGGGUCUUGUACUCACCGC